rnacentral:rRNA from 1 species
GGCUCAGGAUGAACGCUGGCGGCGUGCCUAAUACAUGCAAGUCGAACGGACAUAGCAAUAUGUUAGUGGCGACCGGGUGCGUAACACGUAGCUGACCUGCCUUUCCGCGGGGGACAACAGUUCGAAAGGGCUGCUAAUACCGCAUACAUUUGAGGAGUUUAGAAAUCUUCAAAGAAACUUCAGGGGCGGAAAGAGGGGGCUGCGGCCCAUCAGGUAGUUGGUGAGGUAAAGGCUCACCAAGCCGACGACGGGUAGGGGGCCUGAGAGGGUGACCCCCCACACUGGAACAGACAGACGGUCCAGACUCCUACGGGAGGCAGCAGUAAGGGAUAUUGGUCAAUGGGCGAAAGCCUGAACCAGCAACGCCGCGUGGAGGAAGAAGGUCUUCGGAUUGUAAACUCCUUUUGCAGGGGAAGAGCAAGGACGGUACCCUGCGAAUAAGUCUCGGCUAACUACGUGCCAGCAGCCGCGGUAAAACGUAGGAGGCGAGCGUUAUCCGGAUUUACUGGGCGUAAAGGGUGUGCAGGUGGGCCGUUAAGUGGUGCAUGAAAGUGAAGGGCUUAACCCUUCGAGGCUGUGCCAGACUGGGGGUCUAGAGUACGGGAGAGGGUUGUGGAAUUCCGGGUGUAGUGGUGAAAUGCGUAGAGAUCCGGAGGAACACCAGAGGCGAAGGCGGCAACCUGGCCCGUAACUGACACUGAGACACGACAGCAUGGGGAGCGAACGGGAUUAGAAACCCCGGUAGUCCAUGCCGUAAACGAUGACUGCUGGGCGUCGGAUGGCUAACACCGUCCGGUGUCGAAGUUAACACGUUAAGCAGUCCGCCUGGGGAGUACGGUCCGCAAAGCUAAAAC